AGCCCCAAGCAAUGGGCAAACAAACGCCUUGUUGGUGAUGGUGCUCUUACAUCAGUCAGGGGCAGAGCAGAUGGCAAUCCUUUGUUUAUCCUAGCUUGAUGUCUGGCUUGGUGGCCAAAGCUGUCUUAUGCCUAGGACCAUAAA
rnacentral:snoRNA from 1 species